rnacentral:rRNA from 1 species
GAGGAAUAUUGGUCAAUGGACGAGAGUCUGAACCAGCCAAGUAGCGUGAAGGAUGACUGCCCUAUGGGUUGUAAACUUCUUUUAUACGGGAAUAAAGUGAGGCACGUGUGCCUUUUUGUAUGUACCGUAUGAAUAAGGAUCGGCUAACUCCGUGCCAGCAGCCGCGGUAAUACGGAGGAUCCGAGCGUUAUCCGGAUUUAUUGGGUUUAAAGGGAGCGUAGGCGGACGCUUAAGUCAGUUGUGAAAGUUUGCGGCUCAACCGUAAAAUUGCAGUUGAUACUGGGUGUCUUGAGUACAGUAGAGGCAGGCGGAAUUCGUGGUGUAGCGGUGAAAUGCUUAGAUAUCACGAAGAACUCCGAUUGCGAAGGCAGCUUGCUGGACUGUAACUGACGCUGAUGCUCGAAAGUGUGGGUAUCAAACAGGAUUAGAUACCCUGGUAGUCCACACAGUAAACGAUGAAUACUCGCUGUUUGCGAUAUACGGUCAGCGGCCAAGCGAAAGCAUUAAGUAUUCCACCUGGGGAGUACGCCGGCAACGGUGAAACUCAAAGGAAUUGACGGGGGCCCGCACAAGCGGAGGAACAUGUGGUUUAAUUCGAUGAUACGCGAGGAACCUUACCCGGGCUUAAAUUGCAACUGACUGAACCGGAAACGGUUCUUUCUUCGGACAGUUGUGAAGGUGCUGCAUGGUUGUCGUCAGCUCGUGCCGUGAGGUGUCGGCUUAAGUGCCAUAACGAGCGCAACCCUUAUCGAUAGUUACUAGCAGGUCAUGCUGAGGACUCUAUUGAGACUGCCGUCGUAAGAUGUGAGGAAGGUGGGGAUGACGUCAAAUCAGCACGGCCCUUACGUCCGGGGCUACACACGUGUUACAAUGGGGGGUACAGAAGGCAGCUACACGGCGACGUGGUGCUAAUCCCGAAAGCCUCUCUCAGUUCGGAUUGGAGUCUGCAACCCGACUCCAUGAAGCUGGAUUCGCUAGUAAUCGCGCAUCAGCCACGGCGCGGUGAAUACGUUCCCG